UGGGGAAUAUUGCACAAUGGAGGGAACUCUGAUGCAGCGACGCCGCGUGAACGAAGAAGGCUUUCGAGUCGUAAAGUUCUUUUAUAUGGGAAGAUAAUGACGGUACCAUAAGAAAAAGCCCCGGCCAACUACGUGCCAGCAGCCGCGGUACUACGUAGGGGGCUAGCGUUGUCCGGAAUCACUGGGCGUAAAGGGUUCGCAGGCGGAAAUGCAAGUCAGGUGUAAAAGGCAGUAGCUUAACUACUGUAAGCAUUUGAAACUGCAUAUCUUGAGAAGAGUAGAGGUAAGUGGAAUUUUUAGUGUAGCGGUGAAAUGCGUAGAUAUUAAAAAGAAUACCGGUGGCGAAGGCGACUUACUGGGCUCAUUCUGACGCUGAGGAACGAAAGCGUGGGUAGCAAACAGG
rnacentral:rRNA from 1 species